GGAUGUGAGGGCGAUCUGGCUGCGACAUCUGUCACCCCAUCUGGCUGGCUAGGCGGGUUUCCCCUUCCUCCUCCCUCACCACUCCAUGCGAGCUGGGUCGAAGAGAACGACCAUCCCCGAUAGAGGAGGUCCUGUCUUCGGUCAAAGGUAUAGGUUAGGAGUAGCUGCACUCCCCUGCUAGAACCUCCAAACCAGCUCUCAAAAGUGAUCGCGGACUUUCCUGCCCCGGCUGGCUUUGAACCGUGAUCCUCAGAUCUCAGGCUCCCGAGUAUCUAGGAUUACAGGCGUGAGCCACGGGCGCCUGGCUCAUUAC
ensembl:misc_RNA 7SK 7SK RNA